GGAGCUGAGAGGUAGGGAGUAUAAGGGUGGCUGGCAAGCUGAGUGGAGCCAAGGGGGCCUCCCUCACCCAGGUUCCCAGGGACAUUCCCUGAGUCUCUCAGUGGGCAGAGGGCACCCAGGCAGAGCUGGCUCCCCAUUCCAGCUGCACCGACUGGUGCCACCUCACCUUUCCAUGCUUGAGUUUCCCCCAUCUACGAAAUGCUUAUUCUGAGAGUCCCUCCCUCCUUCACGUCGGCCGCACCCUGCUUGGCCGUGCUCUCUGCCCUCCUUCCAUGCUGUGCCUCUUUCUGCCACAGGACCUUUGCACACACUGUUCCCAUUACAUAAAAGGCUCUUCUUCCCCCGCCCCCCACGACCCCUCCCCAUCCUCAAGAUUUCUGAAGCUUUUUUUUUUUUUCUUUCAGGGAAGACCUUUCUGACUCCCCCGACCCUGUGACAAGCCACUUUUGCUUGUCACUGCGAUAACUUUCCUUUCGUGCUGCGUCUUGCACCAACUAUGGGCAUCAUGCGGAAGGGAGGGUCUGGACCGAAUUGCUAGGUCCUCAGGACCUCGAGAGUGCCUAGGGCAUAGCAGGGUCUUACUAAGUGGCCCCGGCUGGCCUUGAACUUGCCAUUCUCCCGCUCAGUCCCCUGAGUCGCUGGGACUGCAGGUGUGCACCCCCGUGCCCGCUCCCAGCAUUUCUUAUUCUCUAACCGGGAGAACGUGAGUGACGUCCCCCUUAGCAACUCUUUCCACCUCCGUCUUCAACAGCUGGAAAUCAGCAGACGGAAAGAACUCAAACCCAGCCAACAGAAGACCUGGGGCACCUGGGGCCAGCAGAGGUGAUGCAGGAAGCAGAAGAAGACAUCCAUUCCCUGGUCCCCAAAUCCUGGAAGGUAGCAGUGGGGGGGGGGCAUUGCCCAAGUUCCUGGUUAGCGUUUGCUGGAGCCAGGUUGGGCCAGAAGGCCCUGGUCCUUACGAUAUCAGGGUUGUGGGUUCUGGUUGCUGACUCUGCUGAUUUGGAUCACUCAGGGGCCAGCACCACGGUGAACCCCACAGGGCUGAAGUGGCUUCUGGGAGAUUUAAGGAGAUAGUAACCCCCUCUCCUUUUGGGGAGCAGAACACUUAAGGAAAUCUUUGUGAGGAUCCCAGGUGACCACCGAGCUAGAGGAGCAGAGACAUCAGCAACUGUGCACAGCAAGGAACACAUACCAUGUGCAAAAAAGAGCUUAAAAAAGUCACAAGUGGACGGCUACAGUCCUUCAUGAGCAAGAGCCAAUCCCCGGGGAGUGGGGGGAAAUCAGAUUUUCAGAGUUACCACAGCAUAAUACUGAAAAUGUCCAGUUCUCCAAAACAUCACAAGCCUAGAAAUGCUCACAGGAGAUGAAAAACUUGACAUUACGUUAUCUCCACAGAAGGCUGGAUGUAUAUUGGAACCAUCAGCCAAAGGUGUUGAUUCAGUGAUUUUAACUAUGUUCAAGGUAGCUCAAGGAAAUCAUGGGCAAAGAACUAAAGGAAAUAGGAAGACCAUGUCUGAAUAAAAAAAGAAUAUGUACACUCAUACACUGCUGGUGGGACUGCAUAUUGGUGCAGCCAAUUUGGAAAGCAGUAUGGAGAUUCCUUGGAAAACUGGGAAUGGAACCACCAUUUGACCCAGCUAUCCCACUCCUCGGACUAUACCUAAAGGACUUAAAAACAGCAUACUACAAGGACACAGCCACAUCAAUGUUUAUAGCAGCACAAUUCACAAUAGCUAGACUGCGGAGCCAACCUAGAUGCCCUUCAGUGGAUGAAUGGAUAAAAAAAUAUGGCAUUUAUAUACAAUGGAAUAUUACUCAGCACUAAAAAAUAACAAGAUCAUGGCAUUUGCAGGGAAAUGGAUGGCAUUAGAGCAGGAACCAAACCGAAAUUCUGGAACUGAAAAGUACAAUGACCGAAUGAAAAAACUCACUAGAGGGAGUUAUCAGAAAAUUUAAGCAGCAGGCAGAAGAAAGGAAUGGUGAACCUGAAAUUAUUGAUAUGUAGAACAGGGAUUUAAAAAAAAAAAAAAACAGACUUGGGAUAAAAAUGAACUAACUCUCAAGGGCCUGUAGGACCCCUCGCUGACAUAAGAGUUCCACAAGGAAGAGAUAAAAGGGCAGAACAUUUGAAGAAAUGGUGCCCCCCCCCAAAAAAAAUACUAGCAAGACAGAAUCCAAAUGCACAUCCAAAAGAUUCUUCACCAUAAUCAAGUUGGGUUCAUACUAAAUUUAUUAUGUAAAUCAAUAAAUGUGAUAUGUCACAUAACAGAAGGAAGGACAUCCAUUUGGUCAUCUCUAGAGACUCAGAAAAAAGCACUUAUUAAAAAUUUAAAUUCAUUGAUCAUAAAACCUCUCCAUGCAUUAGGUGUACAAGGAGUGUACCUCACGGGUGUGGCUCGGUGUCAGAGCACUUGCCUAGCAUGCACAAGGUCCUGGGGUCCAGCCCCAGCACCUAGAACAAAAAUAAAAUCCCAAACAAGAAGGAAUGGAUAUCUCCACACCAUAAAACCCGUGCAUGACAAACCUUGCUAAUAUAGCAAAAAGGAAAAGGUCGAAGGAUUUUCCCCUAAAAAUCUAAAAUGAGACGAGGAUGUCUACGCUUUCCUGUUGUAUUCAAUGUGGUACCGGAAGUACUAGCCAGAUCAAUCAGAAAUAGAAAAACGGAUCCUAAAAACUCAAAUAGAAUUACAAGAGACUUUGAAAAGUCGAAAGGAUCUUAAGAACAAAGAUGGAAGACAUACUUCCUGAUUUCUUCCUGAAACUUACUACAAAACUAAAUCCACCAAAUCCACGUGCAAAAGAAUGAAAUUGUACUGUUACCUAAUUCCAUAGUACAAGAAUCAACUCAGAAUUUAUCAAAUGCUAAGAGCCCAAAUUAUAAAGUCUUAGAGAACAACAAAGAGGGGAAUCGUCAUUCAUUGAAUUUUGGCAAGGGCACACUGGUAAGAAAAUUUAAAAAAAUAAAUAAAUUGGACUUGACCAAAAUUAAAGACUUUUGUGCCUCAAAGGUUUACCAUCGAGUGGAUAAAAAGACAAGUCCCAGAAUAGGAGUAAAUAUUUCCAAAGUGUGUAUCUGACAAGGGUUGACAUUCAGACUAUGUAAGAAACUCCUAAAAUCCAAACAACUCAAGUCAAAAGUGGGCCAAAGACUUGAAUCCAUGGUUCUCCAAAUAAGAUACCCAAAUGGCUGCUGAUCAUGGUGAAAUGAAGCCCAGCAUCAUUAGUCACUGGAGAAAUGCAAAUCAUAACCACAAUACGAUAUCGCUCGCUAUCGAGAUGACUAUUGGGAAAAGAAACUGAAAAUAACAAAUGUCGGAGGUGUGGAGAGAUCUGAACCCUCUGUGCCUCACCCCUGAGAAUGUGUGACCACGCAGUCACUGCCCAAGAUGGCCGCGCUCAGCACCCUCUCACGUCUAUUCAUCAAAAAGUCAAACACAGAUCUACCAUAGGAUCCAGCAAGUCUACCACCAGGGCUGGAGUUGCUUAAGUGGGAUUGCCGAAUCCAUGGGGUACGUUUGUCUUGCCAAUCGGGGUCACCUCACAGGGUGACAUGGUCCCCACGUCACACUUGGACAUCUGUGGUAUUUUCACCUUGAAGGCCCAUGACAGGCUAGACCUUGUGGACUCUGUGUGCUCCCUCGCGUCUGCCAGGCCCCCUGCAGAUCCCCCUUCCAUUGAGACCAUGCUGGGGCCACCUCUGAGACAGUCCCGAGGUAAGACAAAAGCAAAAGUGUCCCCAAAUGGGGCAUUUCUUAGAAAUGCAGAGAAAGCUCUCAUUUUCAUUAUUGCAAUUUACAUACAACUCAGAUGCUCCAAAUUUCCUAGGUGGCUAAUUGAGCUGCUCUUCCCAUUUGUUACUGAUUUCUCAGAAAUGCGAGAUACCAUCGUUCUAGCCAAACCCCAAUUUGAAGAAGCAAGCAGUGGUUUCUCUGUACCAAGUCAUCCAACUUCUGUGGGAAGACCUAGUUGCUUUUCUUAUUUUAAAAUGUCUCCUUCAUGCUGGGUGCGGUGGUGUGCGCCUGUAAUCCCAGCGGCUUGGGAGGCUGAGGCAGGAGGAUCGUGAGUUCAAAGCCAGCCUCAGCAAAUAAGCAAGGCACCGAACAACUCAGUGAGAUCCUGUCUCUAAAUAAAAUACAAAAUGGGGCUGGGGAUGUGGCUCAGUGGUUGAGUGCCCCUGAGUUCAAUCCCCAGUACAAAAAAAAAUUCCUUUAUUACUUUUGAUUAUAUGAAAAAUUCAAAACUUAGAGUAAGGUGAAAAAGGAAAUAAAGUGAAUACCCACAGAUCCUCCACCUGGGCUUGAUGAGUCUACUCAUUGGGUCUAUGAUCCACAUCUGCCUCUACAGAGACCUUCUACUGGGCACAGCAGUGCAUACAUCUGUAAUCCCAGCAACAUGGGAGGCUGAGGCAGGAGGAUGGAAAGUUUGGAGGCCAGCCUCAGCAAUUUAAAUAAACAUUAAAAAGGACUGAGGAGCAACUGUGUUUCAUGUUCAGUUUUCAUGUUGCUCAGUGGUAGAGUGCCCUCCGUUCAAUCCCCACACACACACACACACACAAAAAAAAGAAAAUGAACAUUUCCUUACAUAGACUAUCAUUACCAUACCCAAGACCGUCCACCAUAAUUCAAUAACAUCACCUGAUAUCUAGCCCAAUAUAUAAAUGUCUCCAAUUGUCCUGAGUUUUCCUGGCUGCUUAGUUUUGAAUCAGGAUCCAAUUGAGGGUUAUGCAUUACGUUUUCUAUCGUCUUUUUUUUAAUCAUUAGCUAUUUAUUUUUAGGUGGUGCUGAGGAUUGAACCCAGGGCCUCACAGGCGUGAGGCAAGUGCUUUGACCACUGAGCCCCAGCCCUCUCUUGUCUUCGAGGCACCUGGAGUGGUUUUCUAUUCUCUUCUUUUUUCCUUUAGACCCAAAAGCAAGCCUCCAACUGACCAUGGAUUGAGACCUCUGAAACUGUGGGCCAAAACAAACCUUUCAUUCUUUUAAAGUUGCUUAUCUUGGGUGCAGCGGUGUAAUCCCGUAAUCCCCAGAGGCUCGGAAGGCUGAGGGGUUGGAAAGGUGGUGACGUGAUUUGACCCUGACCUGACUGAGAAGCUCGGCUGUGGUCUUAUGAAAAAGGUCCACGUCUGGUCUUUCUCUCUUCUCCUGGUGGUGCUGAGUUUGUUCCUCUGUCUUCUGAGCAAUACCAGGGUGCACAGGGUCACCUUUCCCCAUCACAGGGGUGCUUCAUUAGAUCAUUGGUUAAGGUGGCGGUACCAGGAGCACUUUGUAAUCAGGGACACCAAUUCUUGGGCACCUGGUCCACAGAUGAAAAGACAGCCUUUCUGUUGACAACUUUAGCAUCGUUCAUGGUCCUUGACUGAAACAGACAUCACACUUACGAGCUGGUGACUUUUUAAACCUGUCAUUCCUUCUACGUUCUUGUUUUAGGGACAAACGAGGCAAGGCACCGAGGACAGCAGGAAACAGUUUUUAUUUGGCUGCAGCCAGGUUCAGAGGGCACAGCCUUUGCUGUAAUCAAUCAAUCCCCUGAACCCCGAGUUCAGGGAGUUUCAGAGUUUUAUACCCAGCAUGUCAGGGGAGGGGCUCAGAAGUUCACAGUCUGCAGAAGUUCACAUAAAAGCAGCUUUUUCUUUCACUGUUCUGGGCAAGUUAACCCUUCAAGGACAACACCCGAGAAGGGGAGAGCUUCUUCUCCCCUUUCUUUCCUCCCCCUGCCAGCUGUUACCAUGGAGCCCAUUUGUAACUUAUCUUAAAAAUGUAGACAUCUCUGUGAAGCCCAGCUCAAGGCCAGAGGCCUUGUUUGCACAUUUCUACAAAGUACUAUACUGGAUACGUUUGUGAAAAACUAGUAAGGGGGUGCUCAGCACCUGGAGUGCUGGUAUCUUCCUGGCCAGUGGCCAAGUAAAACAGGGUGACACGAAAAUAGGAAGUUUAUCUACAUUGAACUCUUUUGCAGAGACUCUUUUGCUGACAGUCCUAAAAUCAGCCAUGGUGAAGAGGGCUUUUCAGUGGAGAAAGGGGGUGCCACUACAUUCUUAGUGGGUGCUCUCUGUAAAGGAGAGUAUACUUUUAUGCUAUGCUUUUUUUAAAAAAAAAAAUUUUUUUUAGUUGUAGAUGAACACAAUAUCUUUAUUUUAUUUAGUUUUAUAUGGUGCUAAGGAUCAAACCCAGGGUUUGUGCUAGGCAAGUGCUCUAUCCCUGAGCUACCAUGCCAGCCCUUAUGCUAUAUUUUUUUAGAUAAGUGUCCCCAAAGGCCCCUGUGUCAAAGGCUUGGCCCUCAGCCCAUGGUGCCAUGGGGAGAUGGUGGAACCUUUAUGAUGUGGGGGUGUCCUUGAAGGGGAUGGUUGGAUUCUGGCCCCUUCCUCUCUCUUUCUGCUUCUGGGUGCCAGGAUGUGAGCACUCUAUUUGCCACUGAGCCCCAGAGCAAAGGGACCAGGUAGCCAUGUCCUGGAACCUCUGCCACCCUGAGUCAUGUUUACAAAACCUUUCCUCUUUUUAAGUUGAUGAGCUCAAGCAGGUUAUUAUAGUAAUCGGCAGCUAACACAUUUUUGUCUCUCCCUUUUGAAAACAAAUAUGCAGAAAACGACUAUGAGUAAUAUCCCAAACACCCAGACUUUCACCCCCCGAAAUAUGUGUUAAAAUGUUGGCAUAUUCACCUUGGAAAAUUUUUUAAGAAAGAUGACCAUAAAUGCUCUGAAAUCACCCACCCCUGCCCUUUCCCACCUCGUCCCCUCUGCUGAAGUAACUGGUGUCAUAAAUGUGGCACCUACUUCUAAGCCCAUUUUAAUAUUUUUUAUAAAAAUGUCUUUUUCUAUGAAUAAUACUAGAGAUAGCAUUAUUUUGCUUGAGGUUUUUUUUCCCACUUUACUUAUUUAUUUUUGCAUUACAAUUCAUUUUUUAAAAUUUUUUAUUUUUUUAGUUUUGAGUGGACACAAUAUCUUUUAUUUUUAUGUGGUGCUAAGAAUCAAACCCAGUGCCUCAUGCAUGCCAGCCAAGCGCACUACCAUUUGAGUCAUAGCCCCAGACCCUGCAUUACAAUUCUUUUUUUUUUUUCCUUAGGUGUAGAUGGACACAACACAAUGCCUUUAUUUUUUUAUGUGGUGCUGAAGAUCCAACCCAGGUUUCACCCGUGCUAGGAGAGAGCCCUACCACUGAGCCACAAUCCAAGCCCUGCAUUACAAUUCUUAAUACACCAUUAUACCAUAAUUUAUCAUAUCUCUGAUUAUAUAUAAGGUAUGUUGACACCAAAUUCACAUCUUCAUACAUGUAUUUUGUGUAGUGAUGAGGGUCUCCUUUCACCAUCCAUGCUAUUCCCCUUCUCCCUCCCUUUCCCUCCCACCCCUAUUCCCUAUCUAGAGGUAAUCCUCCUCUCUUGCUCUCCCUCCCUAUCCCAUUUUGAGUCACUCCCCUUAUAUCAGAGAAGACAUUCGGCAUUUGUUUUUCUGGGAUUGGCUAACUUCACUUAGCAUCAUCUUCUCUAAUGCCAUCCAUUUCCCUGCAAAUGCCAUGAUCUUAUUCUUUUUUAGUGCUGAGUAAUAUUCCAUUGUGUAUAAAUGCCACAUUUUUUUUUUGCCCUUUGCAAUGUUGGAGGUCUAGCCCAGUGCCUUGCACAUGCUAGGCAAGUGCUCUUCCACUGAGCUACAUCCCCACCCCACCUUAGUAUUUUGUAUAGAAACAGAUUCUGCAUAUAUCACUAGGCCUCUUCCUCUUCCUACCCAACACUGUGGAGAUCAAUUCAUAUUAAUUCAUAUGUAGCCAGCUUGUUCCUUUAACUGUGGGAUGAGAUUCCACCCUUACCUCUCUAUGGAGGAACAUUUGAGUUGGGGGGUCUGCAUCUUUCCAGUCUCACUAGAUAAGACCCAAAUGACCACGCUAAUGUACACUUCCACUAGCCAGGUAUAACGGUCCUUGGUCCCCCAUAUCUUCGUCUGCAUAGGGAGAGUAUAAGAUUAUUAACUGUUUGCCCAACUAGUAGGUGAGAGCUGGUGUCUUUUGUUGCUUUAAUUUGUAUGUCCUGACCACACUGGGCACACUUGACAGACCUUAUUUAAUCCUCUCAGAAUUUCGUUCGUGAUCAUUCCCAUUGUGCUGAAGAGGAGACUGAGGGUCAGAGAGGUACAAUGAUUGUCUAAGGUCUUAGAGGCCCCCAAAGCCUUGGGUCUAUACAGCAUUGCUUCUCCAUACUCUUCCCACAUGGCCAGACGGCUCCUAGAGAGAUGGACAGGUUCUAAAGCCCCUGCAAGGCUUUUAGCAGAGAAGUCAUUUGUUAAUCAAAAAAAAAAAAAUGCAGCUUUGCAAAUAAUUUUUAGGCCACCAGGACUUCUGGGUCAGGAGACACAGAGGGCAGUCGAAAGUGUUCAUUCUCACCGCCGCUCAGGACGGAGGGGUGGUGGGUUGGUAGUCGCCAAGCUUCUCCUGGCUUGGGGGUUGAUUGUAGCCAGGGUGGGUGGUUUGGAUGGGGACCGGAGCUACCAGAUUGAACGUUCUGGAAACUUUUAGAUCUUAAGGUAAGAGAAAAAGAACCUUUUUUUCUGCUUCUCUCUCUCUCUCUCUCUCUCUCUCUCUCUCUCUCUCUCUCUUUUAUUGAAGUCCUCUGAAAAAAGAAGUGACUUACAGGUGGACCAACCUUCAGGACUCCCGUUUUGGGGAAUUUGGGGGCUCUGGGCUGUUCGAGGUCACCCAAGUAUCUGAUUUGUCCUUAGAACCCAGCGAAGUAUUCAUUACACGACAUCCACUUCACCGACGCUCGUGAAGUGAAUAAAUAAAUUUAAAGAAGUUUGGAAAUGAAAAGCAAAACCCACAAACCCCCACAUUCUGGUUCCUUUGGGGGCUGCUGGUGGAGCUUAACAGAUUCGAGAAAGGUCCUCGGUGAGAAGAAGGGGCCUGGCUUUGGGGAGGCUGUCAGGGAGUCACUCAGGGAGCUGUCAGCCUUCAGCCUUGUCAGCCUCCAGCCUCGUCAGCCUCCAGCCUCGCAGACCAGACUCCCUGAUGGCCUCCCAGAUGCCCCCCCCCCCCCCCCGGGGGGAGAUACACAAAAGCUUAGAACAGCAUGGGGCCGGCCCCACACAGCCUCCAGUCUCUCCAGGUCCCCUCUGUUGUAAGUCAUCCUGAAAACAAGCCAGGGGACCUCCUGGGGACAUUCCCACCCCCAGAGCCUUCGCCCUGACGUUCCCUUUCAGCCUCAGGCUUUUUGCAUGACCGAGUCUCAGCUCCAACAUCACCUCCAACUCCAGGUGUUGACCACCUCCUCUGUGCCACCACAAAUGCGAUUUUAUUGUUCAUUUAUUUAUUGUGGUGCUGGGUCUUGAACCCAGGGCCUUGUGCAUGAUGGGCAAGUGUUUCUACCACUGAGCUCCCAGCCCCACAAAUUGGAUUUUAAAUAACUCCCUCUUUGGAGUAAGGGAGAUGUUCCCAGGAGGUUAGAAAGACUGAGCAUUUUAAGUUGUUGAUGGACCUUUAUUUAUUUUUAUGUGGUGCUGAGAAUCGAACCCAGUGCCUCACACAUGCCAGGCAAGUGCUCUACCACGGAGCCCCAGCCCCAGCCCAAGGCUGAGCCUUGAAACCCAGGAUGUGGUGGGGCUGAGAUUUGCUCCCCCAGAUCUCUGACCCCAGUUCUCCUGCCCGGGGACCCCUGUGCCCUGAGAGACUUGGUCAGACAAGGCUGUGAAGCAGAGAUCUACACCCACCAAGUGCACAAACAUUGAGCGCCUACUGUGUGUGGGCAGCUUCUAAAGUCCAGGUGAAGGACUAUCCAGGAAGUCAGAGGCACUUGUGGAGUGCAAUUAGCAUCUUGAUGAAAUAGGAAAAAAAGAUCCAAGGGCUAGGGGGCAGGCAGCAAGGAAGGGGGCGGUGCUUACUGAACAAAGGGAUGUUUAAAAUGUCCUUGUGUCUUGGCACAGAGAAGGCCCCCCAAGCAAUAUCUGAAUUGAAUCCAAUUGGAUCCAGUCAAUGCCCUGCUUGGGGAAAAACCAAAAAAUGGUUUCUGGCCUCACGGAAACAUUCCCUGUGAGGCGGAGGAGAAGGGCGAAUCUCCUGUGGGGGUUAGCAAACCAAAGCAACAGAUGCAUUUUAAAUAAGGCAGACCCGCAGCUCUCAGGUUGCAGAAGUUUUGGCUAAAAGAGAAACACCCACUUGUAUGUUGCAGGAUUUGAGCUUAAUCACCUGCUACUAUUGAAGGCUAAUCUCCACUUUCCAGAUAAAUGGAGGGUUGGCUCUGUUACAGAAGGCUAAACCAGCUCUGGGGGCCCCUGAACUCCACAAAGGGGCUGAUCUGGUUGUCUGAGCUCUGGAUCCAAAGUGGUAAAGGAUGCUUUGUCCCAGGAUAGAAACAGUGAAAUCCUGUUCCAGGUUGCCCACCAGGAACCAGCAACUUGACUUGUUUUUUUUUUUUUUUUUUUUACUUGAAUGUUGUAUUACUCAGCUUACUGUUACUGUAACAAAAUGCCUGAGGUGAUCCGAUUUUUUUAAAAAUGGUUUAUUUGGGUUCACAGUUCUGGAGCAUUCAGUCUUUGACAGGUUGAGCCUGUUGCUUUGGGCACAGUACAUCAUGGCCCGCAUGCAGGUUGGAAGAAAUUUGUUUACAUCAUGGUGGCUGGGAAACAGAGACAGAGGAAGGGGUUGGGGUCCCAAUAUCCCCUAAAAGGACACAUCCCCACCAGUGACCUAACUUUCUUCUACUAGACGCCCCCAACCUCCUAAAGGUUUUGCCACCUCCCCAUAGUGCUAGACGCUUCAAGCUGGUGACUUCAAGCUUAUCACACAUGGUCCAUUGGGAGACCUUCAAGGUCUAGAACUCUAAGUCCCUAACAUGCAAUCACCCUAACAGAGCCGUGGGGUGGGUGCGAGUGUCGGGCCCCACUCUAGAGAGAGGAAAAUGAGACUCAGACCAAAUCAGCUAAAAACCACAAUCACCUAACAGAGGUCUCAGGCUGACUCCUGUGGUUUCUGUUUCUCACAAUCAACUGCAGCUCGAAAAUAUCAGAUGGAAAAUUCCAGAGGCCAACAAUUCCUAAGUUUUAUUUCUUAAAAAAAAAAAAAAACAAAUUUGUUACUAUUUAUAACAAAGCAUCCAACUAUUUAUGACUAUGAUAACUAUUUAUCACAUAGCUGGCCGACUCCUCUACCUACCCCUCUUUCCCAUUGGGACUUUGAAACACACAUCUAAUGAAAGAUCCUUCCUUAGGUCCUUUCCUCUCUCUUCAUCCUGUUAAGUCAGUCUUUGAAGGAGGAACGGAGAAGAGAGACUAAAAACAAACUACGAGGCUCACAGAGAAUUCAAAGUCACAUUGUCUUGAGUUUUGAACCAUCUUGUGACUGAAAGAAUGGUAUGUCUGGGAGAUAUUUAGAAAGACCUUUCUGGGCAGAGCCGAAUUUAGAUCAUCUUCCAAGUACCUUCUCAGGGUAAUGACUUCAUCUAAGGCACACAAAAAUUACCCAGUUGCAAUUCACCAAGCGACUAUGAAAUAUCUACUCCAGAGCCUCAAAUAAGGAAGGAAUCAAUCCUUGUUUUUAUAAAGGCAUUAAGGGAAUUAGUUGUUUGUAGCAAUUAAGGGCACUUUUGCACUUUGGGCUUUUAUCUUAAAAACACAAUUCUAGCUGGGUGUUGUGGGACACACCUGUAAUCCCAGCCGCUGGGGAGGCUGAGGCAGGAGGAUGGUGGAUUCAGAGCCAGCCUCCACAAAAGCGAGCUUAACCCCUGAGCCACAUCCCCAGCCUUUUUUUUUUUUUAUGUUUUCUUUUGAGACAGGGCCUCACUAAGUUGCUGAGGCUGGCCUUGAACCUGAAAUCCUUGUGCCUCAGCCUCCUGAGCCACUGGGAUUAUUACACAGACCUGGGCCACCGCGCCCGUCAGGCCUCUUGUUCAAAUAUAUCAUUGGGUCCAAAGAACUAAGUAAGCUCCUUCAUUUGAGGACGGUUCAAUGUAAGAGUUGUUUUUCAUUCUCCAAUUUAUCUUUUCCCUCUGAAUCUCGAAGUUGAGGUUUUUUCCGUGCAGUUCUCGAGGGAGUUCCGGAAGGGCAUCCUGCAGACGUAUUUGCAUGGACCUCUAUUUCCAUUUUUUUGGUUCACCUUCUGGGAAAUUUUCAAUUUCUGUUUCUCGAACGGGCCCAUCCUCUUUACCUUCCUGUAAAUUCAGUUCGACUUCUCUAGGGUGACUCAAUAUCACUUUCGCAUAGGCCAGGAGGCACCAGCCCGCUCCACCCAGUCUUCUUUGAUCAGAAAGCGAUCACCUGCCAUUCAUCUGAUGACCUCCAACCCAGACGUUUUUCAAUCAGGGGCCACAUUCUGAGUAGUGCCCCAGGAUCUCAUGCCAGGCCGCUUCAUCCUGCCAGAGGCAUGGAUCAUCACCGCUCUGCCCCUUACUCUGUAGCGUCCCCUGUUGACAGCUGGACCUGCCAAGGUGUCACAGUGCCUGGGUUCCAGUCAUUGUUACGCCUUAGCCUAAGGUGACCUCACAAUGCCUGGUCCCCGACCCCACUUCAUCUCUUCAUGUGGACCCUGGAUCCUCUCAUGAGCAGGGCGGACCCAGUCCAGGAAAUUAUUUUGAGAGAGAGGGGAACUGUACUCAUAUAACUUUUAUGGCCACAUAUGGUUACGAUUAUUCUAUUUUUUUUUUUUUAGUUAUUGUUCAUUUCUUCCUGUGCUGAUAUAUAAAUGAAACUUUAUCACAGGUAGGGGUAUGGUAGCUUUUCAUUAGGGUGGCCAAAAUAUCUGAUAAGAACAAAUUAGAAGACAAAAGAUGGGUGCACAGGGUCAGAGGACACUCCCAGUAGUCCAGUGGACUAUCAAUGGAUAGCUCAAUGGGGUCAGAACCCCCAGGAACCAAUCAGGGCCUGAAAGUCUCACCCUUGAACCUGGUUUUUGUUUUGGGGGACUGGGAAUUCCUCAUCCUGGCCUUUGGGGAAACAUUCCCAUUGGGAAAAAACAUAGUAAAUGUAAGGGUCAGUAGUGUCUGUGAUUUGUGGCAUUCCCUGGGGGAUCUUGGAAUGUGCCCCCUGGAUGGGGGAGGGGCUCUCCUGUAAAUGACACCAUCCUUUACUGAAUGGCUGAAGCCAGAAAUCUAGGGUUGACCCUCCAUUCUUUCCUAUCCUUGCUCCCACAUCUUACUCAUCACCAAUUUGCCCGUUCUACCUUCCAAAACUCAGAACAUAACUCCACGUAGCUACAUCUCUCGCAUCCCCACUGUCCCGUAGCUCCCUUUAUCUCUGCUGAGUCACUAACUGGUCUGCAAUCCCCACUCACGCUCCCCCAGCAGCCCCAGGAGAUCUCCAACGUAAACCUCGGUGUCAGCCCUCACAGGAAGCUCUCCGAUGGCUUCUUAGGGUUCCUACCUACUAUAUAAAAAAUUUAUAUAGUAUUAUAUAUUAUAUAAAUUUUUUUCUUUUUAUCUUCCAUUCCUUUACAUCUCCCUUCAGCUGUAUCUAAUCACUUCUGCAACAUAUGUUGGCAGUUCUUAAUUUCAAUUACUGAAUCGUUCAGGUGGACAAUUUCCAAUCAAUGUCCUCACCUUUUGUGGGUCAUUUAUUUUCUUUUCUUUUUUUUGUUAAGAAUUUUUUUAAAAAUAUUUAUUUAUUUAUUUUUAGUUUUCAGCGGACACAACAUCUUUUUGUAUGUAUGUGGUGCUGAGGAUCGAACCCGGGCCGCACGCAUGCCAGGCGAGCACGCUACUGCUUGAGCCACAUCCCCAGCCCGAGUCAUUUAUUUUCUUCCAGUAUUUUACCUUCUUUUUUUUUUUCUUUUUCAAUAACAGACUUUGUGUUUUUUAGAGUACAUUUAGCUUUGCAGUUAAAGAGAAUCUCUGUUGCACCCAAACAUGACCUCCCCAUUAUCAACAUCCUACACCAAAGUGGCACAUUUUUUUUUUGUUACAAUCAAUGAACCGACAUUAAUGCAUCAUUAUACCCUGAAGUUCGAAAUUGACAUUAUGAUUCCCUCUUGAUGAACUCACUCUAUAGGGUGGCGUGCAUACUGACAAGUACCUAUUAUUAUGUACCAUAUAAAUAGUUUCACUGCCCUAACAAUCUUCUGUGCCCUCCUCGUUCACCCCUCACUCCCGUCUAACCCCUGGUCAUCUUAACUAAUCUCUUUUGUGGGGCACCAGGGAUUCAACCCAAGGGUGCUUCACCACUGAGCCACAUCCCCAGCCCCCCUUUUAUUGUUAUAUUUUGAGACAGGGGAAUCACUAAGUUGGCGUAGGGCCUCACUAAGUUGCUGAGGCCGGCUUUGAACUUGCAAUCUUCCUGCCUCAGCCUCCCGAGCCACUGGGUUACAGGUGUGCCCCACUGUGCCCUGCAAUCACCGAUCUUUUCAUUGUCUCUAUAGUUUUGCCUUUUCUAGAAUAUCAGGCGGUUGAAAUCGUACAACAUAUAGCCUUUUCAUAUUGGCUUCUUUCACUUAGUAAAAGGCAUUUAAGGGGCUGGAAUUGUGGCUCAGUGGUAAAGCAUCUGCCUAGCACAUAUCAGGUAUUGGCUUCCUUUCUGAGCACCAUAUAUAAAUAAAUGAAUAAAAUAAAGGUCCAUCAACAUCUAAAACAAUUUUUUUUACAAAGGCAUUAAGUUUCCUCCAUGUCUUUUUAAUUUUGUCCAGCGAUUCUAUUGUUCUCAGCAGGAGGAAUGGUCUCAAAUAAUCCAGCCUCCUUGUGUGGUUAGACAGCGUUCUGUUACUAUAACAGAAUGCCUGGAAUAGUCGGCUUUAUGGAGAAAAGGUGUAUUUUGGCCCACAGUUUGGGUCCAUGGUCAAUUGGCCCCAUACUGUUAGGCCUGUGGUGGCAGCAAUCCUGGCAGAAGGAGGUGGUGGGGCAGGCCAUACCCUUCAGGACUGGGCUGCAAAGAAGAGAAAGAAAAUGAGACCGAGGGUCCCAUAAUCUCUUUCAAGGGCACAGCCUCCACCCACCCACCCCAAAAAAUCUAAACCAUCCCAUUAGGCUCUACCUCUUAAAAUUUCUCCCAUGUCCUAUUAGCACCAUUCUGGGGGAAAAGCUUUUAACUCAUGGGCUUUUGGGGCGUACAUUUCAAAUCCAAUCUACAGCACUGCUGUGGCUGGAAACCUCCCAUUAUCUUCAGAGGAGAGGAAAACUUCCUGUCCUGCCAAUCACGGGAUGGGUGAUUUGGAUAGUGCCUAGCCCUCCAGGUUCACACCACACUCCCCUUGGAUCUUGGCACUGCAGUAGGAUGCUGGGCUUUUCCAUGUACCUCAAAUAUGCCAAGCUCCUUCCUACCCCAGGGACUUUGCAUGUGGUCCCCACCCCCUCCAUCUGGAAUGUUCUUUCUUUACCUCAUCCUCUGGGUCUCAGUUUAGAUGUUACUUCCUCCGAGUGACCUUUCCUGACUGGUCCAGUUUGAAGUGUCCUCCAAAGGCUCAUGCAACAAUAAAGGACCAUUAGAGAAUCUUCUUGGUGGGCUGACAUGGCCUGAUUUACAUCUGAGAUCCCUGCAGGUCUUGGGGGAGGGGGGGUGACGGUCAUAGACAUGUUCAUGAUCCUGCAGGGAUAAUGGGUGCUCGAGGGACAGGGACAAGAGAGGGGACGGGAGAGAAAGAGCCACACUGAGUAUGUUCAGGAUUAUGACAAUAUACUGUAGUAAAUGUUAUAUGAAUAUGGUCCCUCUCACAAUGUCUUCCUGUCCUGUACUCACCCUUCUUGUGAUAAUGUGAAGUGACACAGAGUCCACAUGAGGAGAUGAAGUGACCAGGCAUUGUGAUGUAGUAUUAGGCCGUCACAUAACAACGACUCGAACCCAAGCACCUCGGCAGUCAAGCUGGUAACCAGAUGCUACAAAGUGACGAACGGGAGGGUAGCAUAUGCAGUGUGGAAACUCUGGACAGAGGGAUGAUUCAUGCCCUGGGGCAGAAUGAAGUGAGAUGGCAUGAAAUUUUGUGGCACCCCUCGGAAGGACACACAAAUUAAGACUCAUAAACUGUUGACUUCUGGGAUUUUCCAUUCAAUAUUUUUUUUUAAGCUGCAAUUGUCAGUGGGUAACCAAAACCAUAGAAGGAGAAGUCUCAGGUAAGGAGGAACUAGUGUGCUGAAAUGAGAAUGGGCUGGAAGAGGAAUCAGCCUGGGGUCUCCGUUACACUUUGAAGGUGAUUCUUCUGAGUCACAUUUUCCUCCUCUCUAGAGUGGGGUCCAUACUUGCACCCAACCCGUAGCUUUUUGGGGAUAAUUAUAUGUUAGUGAUUAUAAUUAUAGCCAUCAGCUAUGGUUUGGAUCUUGAAUGUCCCUCAAAGACCUUAAAUGCUAAAGACUUGGUUGCCAGCCUGUGGCACUCUUGGGAGGGGGUGGAACCCUUAAGAGGUGAGGCCUACUGGGAGGAAGUUAGUCAUUGGGGGUGUGUCUCAGUCCCUUCCUCUGUCCUUGCUUCCCAGUCACCAUGGGGUAAACAGGCAUCCUCACCCACAUGCAUCCUCACCCACGCCUACCAUGAUGCGCUGAGUUGCCACAGGGCCAAAUAACCAUGGACUACAGUCUCCGAAACUGUAAGCGAAAGUAAAUCUUUCCUCUUUUAAUUUGAUUACCUCAGGCGUUUUGUUACAGUAAUGGGAAGCUGACUCAUACACUGACCUUGCCUUCUAAAGGAGGCACAGCCCUCAUCUGAUGCCUUUGAGACCUGUGCUCUUCUCUACAUCAUAUGCAAUAUGAUGCACAAGAAGGUUUGGAUUUGGAGAGCAUCUCUGAUUUCAGAUUUGCAUAUUAGGAUGUUCCGCUGGUAAAGUCUAUGCAAAUAUCAGGGAAAAACAAAACAACAACUCUUAACCAUAAUAUUACCCUCACAGCUCAUUUGGAAGAAAUAUUUAGGAAACAUAAACAUAAUCUCUGCCCCCAAAUGGUCCACAAUCUGGUUAAAAAGACAAGACAUCCUUCUGCAUGGAGCUGGAUUAAAAAAGACUUCAUCUGUCUGGUAUAGUGCUGCCCACUUGUAACGGGCAGUCUCCAGAGUCUCAGGAGACUGAGGCAGGAGGAUCGCAAGUUCAAGGCCAGCCUCAGCAACUUAGCGGAGACUGUCUCAAAAGUUUAAAAAUUUAAAAAGAGGACUCUGGGGGUAAAGCAUCCCAUGGGUUCAAUCCCCAGCGCCCAAACAAAAGCAAAAAUCCCAAAACAAAACCAUAUCUAGGGCUGGGGUUGUGGCUCAGUGGUAGAGCGCUCGCCUAGCAUGCAUGAGGCACUGGGUUCAAUCCUCAGCACCACAUAAAUGUAAAAUAAAGAUAUUGGGUCCACCUAAAAAUUAAAAAAAAAAAAAACAAACACACACACACAUCUAAGGAAACCAAUUCAAGACAAAAACACUCAAACUGAGCCGUUGGUUGAGCUCAGCCUUGAACCAUCAGGUGAUGGGGUUGCCGUGUCCCUCUGCAGCUGGGUCCUAUGGUGGUGGUCCCAUGUGCACCCUCCCCCCCCUCUCCGCCCCCCCCCCACAGGCCCUGCAGUUCUGGGGAUGGAACCUGUUAGGUGCAGGACAGGCUGAGUAAGCUGUCUGCAGGGCAUGCCAAACAAAGUUAGCUGCAGGGUGACCUGCCCUCUCAAACCCUCUGUCUGGUUCUUUAUCAACUAUUUGCUUCAAGCCAAAUGCCCAAGCCCCCGCUCAAGGCCGAACACGUAACCCCCCUUGCCCCCCACCCACCCAGCUUGGUUUUCCAUUUUUUAAAGACACUUUAAAUUCCGUAGUGAUCUGGAAUCCUCCGAACACUUGGAAAGAUAUCAUCGAGGUAAGCGUUGACUUAAAAGUAUCCAGGGCCUGUUGGGAUUUGGCCAGUUUAUCCCUAACAGCUCUUCCCUGGUCUGGGAUCCCACCUAGGACUCCCCCCCUCCUCCGCCACUGCCUCCAACCGGACAAUUCCCUUCUGUUUCCCACCACCAUCUCGGCAGUUCGGAGGGGCUCUGGGGGGGCAAUAGCAGGAAGACCCCCCAAACCGUAGCUAUUCACACGUUUGUGAAGGAGGUGACUGUCGUAGGGCCUGCUCAGUGAGCUGGAUCUAGAUGGGACUCAGAUGAAUCAUCACGGGGGGGGGGGGACACUUCUUAUAGAAAGCUCAGGUGCCUGGCCUCUCACCUGGGCCUCCCCUGCUGACACGACUCCCUCUGGGUAGCCUCACCCUGGUCAGCAAGGGGCCUCUUGUGCAUCCCUUGCACCUGGAGGGGGUGGGUAGCAGGGACCUGGGGGUGUCUGCUCAGCUGGGACCCCUCCGCCUGGUUCCAAACUCUGUGGGAAAGCCCGGGGGGGGGACACCCACCAACCAUGUUAAAAUAAAACUCGGAAUUGAAAAGACCCUUUCUUUCUCUCUCUUUCGGUCUGAGUCACCAUAUAAAGCUCCCUCCUGGUGGACACAUAUAAUAUACCAGAGGCCAGUCCAGGGUGACCUGUCCUUUUGGCACCAGUGUGGAGGACCGUCCACCCCACUCUCAGAUCUGCGGUUGGCAAAGGGAGGCCUCCCCCCGCCAACAGAUCCCUACAAAAGGCCUGACGUUCCCUGGGGGUCCCCCAGAAAAUACUGGGGGGGUGGUCACUGGGAGAUGGCCGCCUUGGGAUCCCGGUUCACACACGGGCUCUACUUUCCUCUUGCAAGUGAGCCCUGAGCCUCGGUUCUGUCCUCUGUCAAAUGGGGUCACGGGCAGCAUCUUCUUCCUGGGCCGCCGUGGGCUUCGUCUGAGAUGACACGGGGCAGGGUGGCUAGCACGGUGGCUGACCCUCAGACGGUCAGGGUCAGGUCUCCCUGGAUGUGGCAGAGAGCCCUGGCCUCUCCCUCCAGUCUGGAAGUUCAAAGAGGAGUGGGAAGAGACCCGCUGUCCCCCCUCAUGAAGGACACCCCAUGUCAGGUCCGACUGCUUUGGCUUGUUUUGCAGGGCCAGGGCUGAAACCCGGGGCGCUGGACAUUCUGGGCAGGCCCUCGACCACCAGCUACCCUCUAGCCCUGAGCUGGGUUAGAGAGUGGGGACCCUUCUAGACUCAAGUGCCUGAGAGACUUUCCAUGGUCAGCGAGUGCCAGACCAGCCAUAGGCUGAGAGUACACCCGCUACCUACAGCUAGGGACACGGGGGUCACCGUUAAAGUGCCAGGAGGCAUUGACCCCUGUGAUAGGCUUUCUGGAAAGUUCCAUCAGCUAUUCCUAUCUCUUGGGUCCUCUCUAGCAGCUUCACCUCCAGCCCUGUGGCCCCUGUGGUGUCCCCCCCCCAUCCCAGGUGAGCCCCGUGAGGGACAGUGGGGUCCGUGGGGAGAGCAGAGAGGGUCUUCAAAGACUGAGCCCCGGAGCCUGGGCUUCAUUUCCCUAUGACCCACGUGGAACUCCGCAUCCACAGAGCAAGGGUGAGUGGAAAUAGAGCAGGGAGACAGCUUCCAGGACUUUCCCAUGUGACUAUACCCACGCAAUCUCAGCGCCCACGUGGAACACGGAUCUCGGGCCCCGUAGCAGGGUUCCGUUCCUUGCCCUUCCCACCAAGUCACCUCUGUCCCUGGAGAUGACCUCUUGCCUAACCGCGAACUCCUUGAACCGUGCUGCAUCUGUUUGGAUUCUUUCUCUCCACAUCAAGCCUGUGAGAUUCACCUGUGCUGUGUGCAGCAGUGCGGUUCAUUUUCUUCGCUGUGUAGUAUUCCAUCCUCCUGUUAAUGGAUAUUUGGGAUGGUUACAUUUGGGGGGUGGGGGGCAUGUGUUUGGCUUUAGGGAACGUUGCCACGUGGCUUAACGACUUUCCACAGUGUUUGUACCACUCCACCCUCCCACCAGCCGAGCCCAGGAGUUCUAACAAGGCCUUGGAUCAUUUCAUCAGAAAGACCCGGAUUCCAAGUCCUGCUCUGCCACUUAGCAGCUGUGACACUUGGGGCAAAACAUAUGACUUCUUGGAGCCUCGGCGUCCCCACCCGUAAGUGGAAUGAUGGCUCUUACCUUGCAGGGCUGUCUCCAGGACUGAGUGAGGGGAAAGCUCGGACCACGAGCUCUUCUUCCUUCCGCAGAAUCAACAGGGAGACGCCUCCACGGCCCAGUUCGAUGUGAGACCCUGGGUCUACCCUGUCCCAGGGGGAUAAGCCCUGUGCUAUGCUGUGAAGUGUCCCCCCAAGUUCAUGUGUUAGAAACUUAACCCUCAGAUUCUCAUGUUGGUGGCCUUUGGGACCUAAUGAGGGCACCAGGGGGCCGUGGGGGUGGGGCCUCCACCAUUGUGUUAGUGCCUUUGUAGGAAGAGUUAGCCCCCAUGCUCUGGCUCACCCUGUGCCCCGUAAGCAUGCACCAGUGGACGCUCAGCAGAUGCCAAGUAGCCAGCCCCGUGGACUUCCCAGCCACCAGGCCUGGGAGGUUAAUAAAUUUUUAUUCCUUAUAAAUUACCCCGUGUGACAUUUGCAGCCUAUUUAUGGCAGGGCCGUGGACUAGGUGGCCGAGAGAUCAAGGAAGAGACCCAGAGAAGGAAUACGGUGCCCAUAUAGUUAGUUGAGAAGUGUUUAUGGGGGAGAUCCAGUGGCGGCAGGCUGGCCCGAGCGCCUCUGCCCCUCAAAAGGGCUGCCUGGACCCGCACCUUCCUCCCUGAGGUUACUGAGCCAUCCCAGUUACUACAGGGAGGGGGUUUAUGGGUUCGCUUACAGAAGCCACAAAUCAUUGAUUUGUUUAGUCUGUUUUCUUUCUUGUGUGACCGGCAUCCAGCUGUCUGGGUAUGUGGGCAAGAGAGCAGCUCACUACAGAAAGCACUGCAUUGCUCUAAUUCCCAGCAUACUUUAGAGAAGUCCAAGGUCCUUCUGGAUAGUACGUGUCCAGGCAGGCCACCCUGGCCUGGCUCUCACAGUCCCCUGGGGCUUGUUAAAUCCUUGUGAAAGCAACAUUUCAGGGACCUGGUACUACUGUCCUCUUUUUUUUUUUUUUUUAAGAACAGUAUGCCUGAUCUCAGGCAUUUUGUUAUAGCCACAGAAAACAUGACUACAUCCUGGAUCUUUGCUUCCAGGAACAACCUCCUCUGAGAUCAGGGUGGCCCUCAAUUCUCGGAAGCUUCAGCUCCCAUCCCCAACGGUGGCUGAUCCAGCAGUGGGUAUAGGCUGUGCUAAUGCCAGCCUUACUCUGGGUAGCCACCUGCUCAACUCCCUCAGAGCCCAGCUAGGUCCCCAAGCACAGCAGUGAACACAGUUGGCCACUUCUUCAUACUCAGCGGUUUGCCUGUGCUGAUGUUCCCUUGGGUGCGGUGCAGCACGGCGGCUUCCUCAGCCCACCCAUCUCUCCCCCGCGUCUGGAAGGGAGUAGAGGUUCAGAGAGGAAGUCUUGGGGCUGGAGUGAGCGGGUAGAGGUGGGGUGGGGGUAAAAUGCGUGCACUUGACCAAGGAGGCUUAGAGAUGGUAAGAGAACUAACUGCCUGAGGCCGUGGUGAGUGGCAGCUACUGUCAUUGUCCUGGCCACGGCUUGUGUUUCCUGGGUAAUCGCUGAGUGCCAGGCGCUGAGCUUGACUCUUCCCCCCACCCCACCUCUACCCGCUCUGAACCUCAAACGUUUGGCUCAGGCUCCUACCUCAGGACCUUUGCACAUGCCGUUAAACUCUUUCUGGCAUGCUCCUUGUCCAGACAUUUGCUUGGGUGACUCACCAUCUCCUACAAAUCUCAUCUUGCCCGUGAAGACCACUCUGACCGUCCGUCCAUCAGUGUGUGUGGACCAACAAGUACUAUUGAGAAGGAAGAAGGGACAGAGGAGAGAAGCUGGGGGAGGGGAAAAGGAAUGGCGCAUGGCCAUCUUUAUUCCGGUGAAAUCAGGUGACGAUGAGCAUCCCAGAGGGAUCCCGAUGGCACAGAAAGAUCAGAAAAGUCCCCAGAGGGAGGCAGGGCAGCAGCUCUGCUCAUUUGCCCCGAUGCAGAUUUUGAGGCUCCAGAUGUGAGCCAGUCUCACAGUCUGGGCAGCCCCCCCUCCCGGUCCCUCCUUCCACCCGCCAACCACCCCGGGGGCUCUGACGACAUGAGGAGUCCCCCCAUCCCCCAGCCACAGCCCCGGGAACGGUCAGGGUGAGGAAAGAUGCUCAGAGACCCUCAAAAAUGACUCAUGUCACUCCUGCUCCAAACGGGGGACCCUGACACCCUGACCUCCUUGAGUGUUUCGUCCCACUGGAUGGCCACCACACCUGGGCAGAUGGUGCCCCAGACCCAGGACGGUGUCACCUGCUGCAGCCCCCCCCCCCAUCACCACUUCCACCACUCUUUCCUCCCGGGAGGGACCGGGGUUUCACACAGCAGCAGCCGAGGCCCAUAAAUAGCAGCUGGCCACUCGCAGGCCGACCCUCCCAGGCCCCAAAAAGGAAGUGAGAGAAAGGCGGGCACUUCUGUCCUUCCUGCAGAAAGUACUGCUUCUGCAAGUGACCCCCCCGCAGGCCCUCCCCAGGGCUCCCCAUCCUCCGUGCGGACCCAAACCAGCUCAGGGCCUCUGUGGGGCAGGGUUAGCCUCAGGUGGGGCUCAGCUGCUGUAACAGGUAGGACCCAGAGACACGGCCGACCAGGGGGGGAGCGGAGGCCUCACCAGGAAUCUGUGCCCCGUUUUGUUUUGUGAAUGGCACUUUGUUCCAUAAUGAGGCCCUGCUGACCCAUGUAGGGGCCAUGCUGGCUUAAGAAAGCCCCACGGCUGGCUGGGCUCGGGGUGACCUCCCUUGGGAGGUACACUCAUCCACGUGAAGAUCAAUAGUCACACACACCCCCAGCUUUUUAGGCAAAACUAGAUUUGGAGUAGCAGUGUCUGGGGAUGUCCCCAGCUGCUGCCCCACGGGUGGUCACCAAAUGUGAGCGAAGACUUGAAUCUCAGGUGAGCAAAGCUGGGAAGACAUAGAAUGUCCGGUGGGUACCUUUCCAGAGGCCUUUCCCUCAGUCCUUCCCUGUUCAAAGUCUCCAUCUGUUCCUGCCCACACUCCUGGCCUGGCACAGCUGCGAGGAUAAACCGUGAUGCACCCUCAGGACAGGACACGGAAUGAGCCGGACCCACGGGCCUCUCACAAACAGGCUGGGGGAGAAGGAAGGCCGGGGACAAUGUGUGGCUCCAUGCAUGUCAACUAGAACUCAGACAGCCCCAGGACCACCGUCAGCCCCCAUGGAGAAGGAAACCCAUGUAUGAUGAAGACAUUCUAGACACAUGAGGCAGCUCUCCGACAUCAUGAAAAGACUGAACCCCAGCCAGCCCUGACGGCUCUUUGAGCCACCCAACGGAGGCACCCGACAUGUGACCGAGGCCACCUUUAUUCUUCCAGCCCUACAGAGUCAACCUCGCUCACACCAGGCAGAGCAGAGACUCAUGUUGAAAUUUACCUCACCCCCACGGUGAGGGAUCAAGAGGUGAGACCCGGUGGACGCAUGAAGAGGAAAUCAGGUCAUUUAAUGGAUUAAAUGCAUUCAUGGAUUAAUGGAUUAUUGCAGAUGCAUAAAACCUAAUCCCAAACUGGCUUGAACCCAUUUUUGUGUGGGGGGGGUGCACCAUUGGACAGGGACGACGUCAGGCAUGGCUGGAUCCCGAUCCACCUCUUAGGUUUGCUUCCCCCGGAGAUUUCAAGCUGCAUGUUUGUGACUGGCCCAGUUUGGGUCCUGUGUGCAUUCCCGGGCCCACGGAUGUUGUCAGAAUAGAGAGCAGUUUGAUUAGCCAACCUGGGGUGGUGAUUCCCUCCAGACCCAGGGGUGGACCCAACAUACUGCAGGGACUGAAAACACGGGCGUGUGUUCUCAGAUGGCAAUCAAGAGCUCUUUCAGAAAAGGUGUGUGAGAUUAGCACCCUUCCUGACCCCAACCCUCCCUUCCCAUUUGGCCUGCCUCUGCUCUCUCCCAAAUACCUCAUUGCCUCCCCACCCUCAGCUUGAGCAGGUCCCUCCUCCACUUGGAAUGUCUUCCAUACCAGUGGAAGACAGCUGGGUUGCCGCCGAGGCUGGCCUCAAGCUUCUGUGAUCCUCCUGCCUCAGCCUCCUCAGCAGCUAGGAUUACAGGCAUGCACCACAGCACUCAGCUACAUUAAGCAUCUUGAGAUGACGAUCUUGCAUUGUCCCCGGGAGCCCUAAGUGCAGUCACAUGCAUACUUACAAGGGGGAGGUAGAGAGAGAGUCCUUGACACAGACAGAAGAAUCAGAGACAACAUGACCGUGGGGACAAAGUCUGCAGCCACCAAACAGGCUCCCCUUGAGCCUCAGCAGGAGCAUGGCCCUGAGGAUGCCUUGAUUUUGACCAUGGGAUACUGAUUUAAGUCUUUUGACCUCCAGAACUGCAAGAGAAUAAAUGCUUGUUGUUUUAAGCCCCUGGAUUAGAGAAAUUUGUCAUGGCAAUCCUAGGACACGAAUAUGGCUUUCCACGUUAUGAAGAAUGCGAUGUUAACGCCUGUAGGACCUGUGGUCUGACUCCUGCUCCUGCUCGCGCUCACAGAGGACAUCCGACUGCAGCUUGAACACUGCUGCCCCAGGGCCUUUGCACUUAUUCCCUCAGUCUGGCAUGCUCUAUCUUUGGGUUAUUCCAUUAUCUCCUUAGGGGAGAUCUUCCCUGACUAAAACAGCACUGCCCCACCCCCAGUCCCUUGUCAUUUUUUUUUUUAAGUUCCCUUGAUUUUCUUUCUUUUUUUUUUUAAAGAGAGAGAGAGAGACCACAGCCAUGGUCAGCCAAUUUGCAUUGCAGAAAGUGUUUUUUUUUUUUUUUUUGAAAACUGAAAUCACAGAAUAAAUAACCACGUGACCAACAACAGGCAGACAAAGACCCAGAUUCCUGUGCCAACGGAAAAAUAACGUUCUAGCACAAGUUCAAAGGCUCCACAGUGCCCCUGUGGCUAGGGGGUGCGCUCCCCAAUAUAUAUACCUCCACCCAUCUACACUCACACGACCCCACCUACAUACAACUCCCCACGCAAAUACACACGCUCCACGUACCCAUGCUCCUGGCUAAGCCCGCGGUGAUUUUUCUAAGCAUUUCCCUGAUGACUAAUGAUG